AUCCCCAGCCAGAUGAGCAGCUACCCAAUGGCUCCCCAUUUGCUCUUUAUUGUUGGCCUGUCCCCCUUGGGAUGGGCCGUUCGUCAGCCCCCAGACAUGGUGGUCAGUCAGGGACAGCUACUGACACUGAACUGCUCCCAAAAAUCAACCAAUUUCAUGAACAUGUACUGGUACAAACAAGAUGUGGGAAAGGAUGCAAGGCUGCAGCUGGUCGUGUUUUCUACAGAAGGCUUUGGUGCAAAUGUUGAGAAGCCAUUUGAAGGUCACUUCCAGAGCAGUGGGACAAAAAAAUAUGUCCUGUCUCUGUCUACAGAGAGUGCCCAGGUGCAAGACUCAGGCACAUAUUACUGUGCUAAGCAAGAUCACACAGUAACUCAGCUGCCGAAAGUGCUUAGCAUAAACCACCCAGCAAAGUGAAAGGACUUCCCUUCCCCCACACCC